CAAAGUCUCAGAGACUUUUCAAGAUUUCUCUCCUCAGUCAUGGAUUAAAGAACAGAAAUUCACUACGUAAUUGCCACAAUAGUCGGGGCUUUCCCGAGUCUUGCUGUGCUAUACUCUCCUGUUUGAACAGAUAUUUGACCAUAAAAAAAUAAAACUGGUUCUUGUAAUUUCCUGCGACAGUCAGAUGUCUCUACUAGAGGAAUCUACUGCUGUGAAUACUUGUAAAGAGGUCUCACACUCAAGAAAGGUUUUAUAGUUCUGCAAGAGAUUUUGAAUCUUUUGGCCAAGCUUAAAAAGACGGCAAAAAGCUGAAAAGAGAAGCGAAGUUGCUACAGGAAAAGGUGGAGAUGAAUGUGAUGUCCAAGAAAGCUCCCAAGUUGCAGCUGCAAUUGGCGAUAUUAAUGCUGCAGAACAUGAAUUUGUUUUGUGUCUGUCAAGCAUUAAUGGUUUGAUGCAGUUAAAAAUGAUGCAUUCGUUGGCAGGUCUGCCACCAAGGAGCCCUGAUAUGACUCCGUUGGACUUUUUCUUCUGGGGGCAUAUCAAGAAUCUUGUGUAUGCGGAGAAAAUUCGAAAUGUUCGCCAUCUCAGGGAACGAAUAGUGAAUUGCGUGGCGUCCGUUCCCCCAGACAUGCUCGCCAGGACAUGGGAAGAGGUAGAAUACCGUUUCGACGUGUGCCAUGCCACUA